rnacentral:rRNA from 1 species
UACGUAGGGUGCAAGCGUUGUCCGGAAUUAUUGGGCGUAAAGAGCUCGUAGGCGGCUUGUCGCGUCGGCUGUGAAAACCUGGGGCUCAACCCCGGGCCUGCAGCCGAUACGGGCAAGCUAGAAUUCGGUAGGGGAGACUGGAAUUCCUGGUGUAGCGGUGAAAUGCGCAGAUAUCAGGAGGAACACCGGUGGCGAAGGCGGGUCUCUGGACAGUUCCUGACGCUGAGGCGCGAAGGCCAGGGGAGCAAACGGG